UACGUAGGUGACCAGCGUUGUCCGGAUUUACUGGGCGUAAAGAGCGCGCAGGCGGUCGUUCAAGUCGAACGUGAAAUCCCCGGGCUCAACCCGGGAACUGCGUCCGAUACUGGAAGGCUUGAAUCCGGGAGAGGGAUGCGGAAUUCCAGGUGUAGCGGUGAAAUGCGUAGAUAUCUGGAGGAACACCGGUGGCGAAGGCGGCAUCCUGGACCGGCAUUGACGCUGAGGCGCGAAAGCCAGGGGAGCAAACGGG
rnacentral:rRNA from 1 species